rnacentral:lncRNA from 10 species
AGCCGGUAAACAUGGCCGUCACCGACAGCCUCAGCCGGGCUGCGACUGUCUUGGCAACUGUGUUGCUCUUGUCCUUCGGCAGCGUGGCCGCUAGUCAUAUCGAGGAUCAAGCAGAACAAUUCUUUAGAAGUGGCCAUACAAACAACUGGGCUGUUCUGGUGUGUACAUCCCGAUUCUGGUUUAAUUAUCGACAUGUUGCAAAUACCCUUUCUGUUUAUAGAAGUGUCAAGAGGCUAGGUAUUCCUGACAGAGAUGGAGUCUCACCAAGUGGCCCAGGCUGGUCUUGAACUCCUGGCCUCAAACGAUCCUCCCACCUCAGCUUCCCAAAG